CAUAUCCAUAGAAACCAACUUCUCCCACUCCAAGUAUAUCUCAUCACUAGGUGGCUCUCCCUGCGGCGAAAAUUUUUGGAUUCAUUAAAACAAAAUUUGUAAAAAAACAACGAAAGGUUUCAAGAUUUUAUAGAAACAGAUCUACAUGCAUUGAUUUGCAUUUCUGCUGCAGUUGCAUUGUUUCAGCUUGCUUCAUAGCCAACUCAGAGACAAGAGACAUCAUUUUUCGUGUUACGUCUUUUAUACGUGAUUGGAACCCAUUAACCUAAAUAGAAAAUGAUUCAAAAAGGUACCGGUUGAUUGUUACAAUUUUAAUAUGCAUUGCUGAGAUGUUAAUAGUAAUAACUUUUAUUUUUCGCUGUAUUUUACUUGCCCAAAUCAUUUUU